rnacentral:rRNA from 1 species
GUCGAGUUGUUUGGGAAUGCAGCUCUAAAUGGGAGGUAAAUUUCUUCUAAAGCUAAAUAUUGGCGAGAGACCGAUAGCGCACAAGUAGAGUGAUCGAAAGAUGAAAAGCACUUUGGAAAGAGAGUUAAAAAGCACGUGAAAUUGUUGAAAGGGAAGCGCUUGCAAUCAGACUUGUUUAAACUGUUCGGCCGGUCUUCUGACCGGUUUACUCAGUUUGGACAGGCCAGCAUCAGUUUCGGCGGCCGGAUAAAGGCUCUGGGAAUGUGGCCUUCACUUCGGUGAAGGUGUUAUAGCCCAGGGUGUAAUACGGCCAGCCGGGACUG